GAGAGACAAACGCACUGAGAGACACCGGUAGAUGGUCAGCGUGGCAGUCUGGAUGAACAUCUGUAGAGAGGCGAAGAGACAUUUAUUGAGAAAGAACCUCACCAGCAGGAGCACUUCUUCAAUGACACCAGAACCACCUACAGAAGAAGUCACCAACCACCAUCUGCGUCAGCAAGCAUGUCUACACAAGAGCCACCUACAGGACCCAGAAGACCUCUUCAACGACACUUUGCAGUACCAAAAAAGAUUGGUACAAAGGCCAUCCAGAUGACGCAAGUGGUGUACAUGGUGAAUCCAAUUGGCUUGGCCUCGUUGAACGUCUCCGGAACACCUCGACUUUUCACAGCGUACACCGUGCACGUCACCUAGCAACAAAAAUAGCACAAGUUACCUAGCAACAAAGCCAGGACAGGCUUUUUACAACGCUCACCUUACCUAACACCUUACCAUAAGUACGAUACUGUAGCUGAGGCAACAGAUGAUUGACAGGUCAGACAUGUCACAUUUCAGAAUGCCUCGGGCCAGAUCCGGGUUGGGGGGGCGGAGCUCCUCGUAGUCGAUGAUGGUGUGAGGAGGGACGACGCCGAACCACACAAACACCCCGAGGACCUGAAAGACGAGUGUUGACGGAUGAAGCAGGGCCAUGUCACAAGCUGUGGGACAGACGGUAGUCUGAGACCCGUGUUCUCACCUGGACUGAGAUGAGGAUGAAGGUAAUGAUGAGCUGUGAGGUGGGGCUGAUGAACUUGGGUGGGGUCACCGACCUCUUUCCCUGUUCGAAGAUGCGGUAGAUGCGGUUGGUUUUGGUCAACAUGGCAGAGUAGGUAAUGGCCAUGCCGAGGCCCAACAGGAGGCGACGGAACGCACAAGCCACCGCACCGGGCUCCGCGAUCAUCAGGAAAGUGAUCAGGUAGAUCAGGAAGAUCCCUGCAGAGAGGGGGGCAGGUAGUCAGCCUCACGGCUGGGAUUUAUUCUCCUGGGGGGAGAUGAACACUGAUUCCAUCAAAGACAAGCUUGCAGCCUGGAACUGCCCCGAUGCCCAAAUCACCUUCACCACCAGAAUUGAGGGAGUUCUCACUACCAUCACCUCACCUCUUCUUGGAACCUCCAAGCAUGGCCACAUCCUGCCCAUCAGUGACCAGGAGGGUUCUAGUGAGCAGAGCCCUGGAUCCACAAAACAGCUUUGUUCACCUCAUCCAGACAUCUGGUCCUCCAGGAAUACUUUGGGCUGAAACUGACCCUGCCAUGCCGUGAGUAUGUAUCCUUUCCUUUACCAGUAGGGUCCCUGGCACAAAGCUCACUGCAACAUUACUCUGUGUUUCGUAGACCAGGUAACUUUGAUUUAACCGAGACACACUGAAUCAAACAAUAUGUUUAAUAGGGAUCUUUUUCUGUCCCUUGGUCAUCCGUCCUCUACCAACUGCAAUAAGACUGUAGAACAAAACACCUCUGACUACGCGGAUGACUACUUGUUUGAACGCUAUCGUUUUUAUUCACUGUCCAUCAAAUAUGUCCAUGACCUCAGCCGUUCUCACAGAAGUAACGUCCCCAUGGUGGACGUGCUCUCACAUACGAGCACAUUCUUUGUGUAGUAUCACGUGUUUUCCUUUACAACAUUAGAAUAUCAGUAAAGCUGCUGCAUGCAGAGCCGUGAGAAACGUCUUUUAAACCUUUUUGUUGGACACAAACCAGUGAGACGUUAAAGAGGAGUUCAGCAGGACGCACCUGAAGGACACAUUACAGGUCCAACACCAUCGAACCAGCUUAUACCAGCCAUAUUAUUCUAAAUAUGAGCAUGUGUGUGUAUUUCCAGCCUGUGUGUAGUGUAUUCUACCAAACAGUGUAAAAACUGGGAAUUAGUAAAACGUAUGGAUUAUGAUUAGUGUGUACAUUAAAUAUUAACACUAUAUUGGAACAUAA